rnacentral:misc_RNA from 1 species
UAUAUAUAUAUAUUUGUUACAUAAAUUACCCCAACUGGGAUUAAAAACCAAAUUGGGGAGAACUAACAUCUCACAAUCAUUUCAUUUUUCUUGUUAUAAAAAAAGGCCUAGCGGGUGCCAAUAUACCACCUCAGCAACAGCCAGCCACAUGGGCCAACCUUCUCCUAUACCCUAAACCCCCUCCCAUCCUCGCAAACAAUUCUACAAUACUAGCAAAUAAAUUAAGUUGCUUGUCCU